rnacentral:rRNA from 1 species
AUUGAACGCUGGCGGCAGGCCUAACACAUGCAAGUCGAACGGUAACAGGAAGAAGCUUGCUUCUUUGCUGACGAGUGGCGGACGGGUGAGUAAUGUCUGGGAAACUGCCUGAUGGAGGGGGAUAACUACUGGAAACGGUAGCUAAUACCGCAUAACGUCGCAAGACCAAAGAGGGGGGACCCUUCGGGGCCUCUUGCCAUCGGAUGUGCCCAGAUGGGAUUAGCUAGUAGGUGGGGUAACGGCUCACCUAGGCGACGAUCCCUAGCUGGUCUGAGAGGAUGACCAGCCACACUGGAACUGAGACACGGUCCAGACUCCUACGGGAGGCAGCAGUGGGGAAUAUUGCACAAUGGGCGCAAGCCUGAUGCAGCCAUGCCGCGUGUAUGAAGAAGGCC